rnacentral:rRNA from 1 species
UAAAAACCCCGACUUCGGAAGGGGUGUAUUUAUUAGAUACAAAACCAAUGCCCUUCGGGGCUCUUUGGUGAUUCAUGAUAACUAUACGAAUCGCACGGCCUUGCGCCGGCGAUGGUUCAUUCAAAUUUCUUCCCUAUCAACUUUCGAUGUUUGGGUAUUGGCCAAACAUGGUUGCAACGGGUAACGGAGGGUUAGGGCUCGACCCCGGAGAAGGAGCCUGAGAAACGGCUACUACAUCCAAGGAAGGCAGCAGGCGCGCAAAUUACCCAAUCCCGACUCGGGGAGGUAGUGACAAUAAAUACUGAUACAGGGCCCUUUCGGGCCUUGUAAUUGGAAUGAGUACAAUUUAAAUCCCUUAACGAGGAACAAUUGGAGGGCAAGUCUGGUGCCAGCAGCCGCGGUAAUUCCAGCUCCAAUAGCGUAUAUUAAAGUUGUUGUGGUUAAAAAGCUCGUAGUUUGAAACUUGGGCCUGGCUGGCCGGACCGCCUCACCGCAUGCACUGGUUUCGGCCAGGCCUUACCUUCUGAGGAAACUCCUACUUUUUAUUGGUAAUGAAGGGGGUACAGAUCGUUAUAA